rnacentral:rRNA from 1 species
AUGAUCGAUUCAACCUCUGAUCAAAAAGAUAGACCUUGGUUCUAUUUCAUCUCUUCAACAAGUUUAGUAAUAAGCAUAACGGCCCUAUUGUUCCGAUGGAGAGAAGAACCUAUAAUUAGCUUUUCGGGAAAUUUCCAAACGAACAAUUUCAACGAAAUCUUUCAAUUUCUCAUUUUAUUAUGUUCAACUUUAUGUAUUCCUCUAUCCGUAGAGUACAUUGAAUGUACAGAAAUGGCUAUAACAGAGUUUCUGUUAUUCGUAUUAACAGCUACUCUAGGGGGAAUGUUUUUAUGUGGUGCUAACGAUUUAAUAACUAUCUUUGUAGCUCUAGAAUGUUUCAGUUUAUGUUCCUACCUAUUGUCUGGAUAUACCAAGAGAGAUCUACGGUCUAAUGAGUAA